CUGACCAAAACCUGACCGUCCCUGAGCUGUGGUGAAAUUCAGAGAUGACCCAAGCUUUGCAGCUCAGGCCCAUGUCUAUUUACUAGGCUGAGUUGUGUAACUCAUACCUGACAAGAAGUGAUGCCAAGGCUCAAGUUAGCCCUUUAUCUUGCGAGUGGCAUGAUGGAAGAAAACUUCUGAACUGCUUUAUCAGAAAAGAUCAAUGGUCAAUCUCAUCUAGUAUGCUGUCUUCUGACAUUUCUCUAUGCCUCAUGCUUCAGAGAAAGGUUUGACAUGUAUGGUCACGACCUGUGCUCAGCACAGGACAUGAUCGGCUUUAGACUACCGUUAUGCAUAUCCAGUCUUGGGGCUAGCCAAAGCCAA